GACUCUACACAUACAAAUUAAUGGUCUCCAUAUGUACAGGUUAGAGCAGUUAAGGAAUGAGGAUAGUAGGUCUAUCACUGCACUCAUCUAAUAGAAUUCAAGAAAAGUUCUGCAAAAGGCAACAAUUUAAAAAUAAUCACUGAACCACUAGUUGGAAAAUAAAGAAAUCAUAUGUUUUCACACCUUUAACUGUAAGCUCAUUCAUAAUGAACUUAUUAUCAUUAGUCUACAGGCCAAUGAUCAUAGACUAUAACCCUGUAGCAAAGGACUUGACCUCAACAUUGCAAAGGAAGAAGUAGUGGCCUCUUAUGAAUGAAUAAUACCAGGUGGAUUACUAUCUAUUUAACAUCAAGGAAUGCAGUAUACAGGAUGAAGAGAAUCAGCUCCAGUGAAUUUCAGAAUGUCUCACUGCAAGUUAAUAUUGAGAAGGGAUGAUCCUACUACUCUAGUUAAAACCUUAACAUCCUCACUUGGGUGUGUAGGCUCAUUACUUUCUAGUCACUCAUUCUAGAAACAUUUCAAAGAGAAAGUAUUGGAGGUUAGGAGAAAAAUCAUUGUAACAGAAAUGUUGUAUUUGGACCGCAGUUCUGCCCACUUUGUGGGCAAGGCAAAUCACAUCCCUCCUCUGGCAGAACUGAGAUGUGGCAACUGUAUACUCCAGGCAAGGCUUAAAAAUGUGUCAUUGAGGGGGCAGCUGUGUAGCUCAGUGGAUUGAGAGCCAGGCCUAGAGACGGGAGGUCCUGGGUUCAAAUCUGACCUCAGACACUUCCCAGCUGUGUCACCCUGGGCAAGUCACUUGACUCCCAUUGCCUAGCCCUUACCUCUCUUCUGCCUUGGAGCCAAUACACAGUAUUGAUUCUAAGAUGGAAAAAAAUAAAAUGUGUUAUUGAC